GGAUGUGAGGGCGAUCUGGCUGCGACAUCUGUCACCCCAUCGACCGCCAGGGUUGAUUCUGCUGAUGCGGCUGGCUUCCUCCCUCACCACUCCACGUGCGUCCCUCCUGAAGCUGCGCUUGGUCAAGAGGAAGACCACCCCCGAUAGAGGAGGACCGUUUCCUCUGUAAAGGGUAUAGGAGUAGCUGCGCUCCCCUACUAGAACCUCCAAAUAAGCUCUCAAGAAUAUAGUGUGCAAUUAAAAUUAAACUAGACUCCAACUAAAGGUUCUAUCUUCUGAAGUUAUAUCACAGAAAUACAAG
ensembl:misc_RNA 7SK 7SK RNA